UGCAGUCGAACGAUGAACUCCAGCUUGCUGGGGGGAUUAGUGGCGAACGGGUGAGUAACACGUGAGUAACCUGCCCUUGACUCUGGGAUAAGCGUUGGAAACGACGUCUAAUACCGGAUAUGACCAGCCUCGGCAUCGGGUGUUGGUGGAAAGAAUUUUGGUCAAGGAUGGACUCGCGGCCUAUCAGGUAGUUGGUGAGGUAAUGGCUCACCAAGCCUACGACGGGUAGCCGGCCUGAGAGGGUGACCGGCCACACUGGGACUGAGACACGGCCCAGACUCCUACGGGAGGCAGCAGUGGGGAAUAUUGCACAAUGGGCGAAAGCCUGAUGCAGCAACGCCGCGUGAGGGACGACGGCCUUCGGGUUGUAAACCUCUUUUAGCAGGGAAGAAGCGAAAGUGACGGUACCUGCAGAAAAAGCACCGGCUAACUACGUGCCAGCAGCCGCGGUAAUACGUAGGGUGCAAGCGUUGUCCGGAAUUAUUGGGCGUAAAGAGCUCGUAGGCGGUUUGUCGCGUCUGCUGUGAAAACCCGAGGCUCAACCUCGGGCCUGCAGUGGGUACGGGCAGACUAGAGUGCGGUAGGGGAGAUUGGAAUUCCUGGUGUAGCGGUGGAAUGCGCAGAUAUCAGGAGGAACACCGAUGGCGAAGGCAGAUCUCUGGGCCGUUACUGACGCUGAGGAGCGAAAGGGUGGGGAGCAAACAGGCUUAGAUACCCUGGUAGUCCACCCCGUAAA
rnacentral:rRNA from 1 species